CUAUUAGGGUGCAAGCCCGAGAGAGCCGCAGUGAAUAGGCCCAGGCGACUGUUUAGCAAAAACACAGGUCUCUGCAAAACCGUAAGGUGACGUAUAGGGGCUGACGCCUGCCCGGUGCUGGAAGGUUAAGAGGAGUGCUUAGCUUCGGCGAAGGUACGAAUUGAAGCCCCAGUAAACGGCGGCCGUAACUAUAACGGUCCUAAGGUAGCGAAAUUCCUUGUCGGGUAAGUUCCGACCCGCACGAAAGGCGCAACGAUCUGGGCACUGUCUCAACGAGAGACUCGGUGAAAUUAUAGUACCUGUGAAGAUGCAGGUUACCCGCGACAGGACGGAAAGACCCCGUGGAGCUUUACUGCAACCUGAUAUGGAAUGUUUGUACCGCUUGUACAGGAUAGGUAGGAGCCGAAGAGACGUGUGCGCUAGCAUACGAGGAGGCAAUGGUGGGAUACUACCC
rnacentral:rRNA from 1 species